rnacentral:rRNA from 1 species
AUUGAACGCUGGCGGCAGGCCUAACACAUGCAAGUCGAACGAGUGGCGGACGGGUGAGUAAUGUCGGGGAAACUGCCUGAUGGAGGGGGAUAACUACUGGAAACGGUAGCUAAUACCGCAUACAAUCAGAUGGGCCCAGAUGGAAUGAGCUUGUUGGUGGGGUAACGGCUCAACAAGGCGACGAUCCCUAGCUGGUCUGAGAGGAUGACCGGCCACACUGGAACUGAGACACGGUCCAGACUCCUACGGGAGGCAGCAGUGGGGAAUAUUGGACAAUGGGCGCAAGCCUGAUGCAGCAAGGCCGCGUGUAUGAAGAAGGCCUUCGGGUUGUAAAGCACUUUCAGUGGGGAGGCGGUAUCUGCAGAAGAAGCACCGGCUAACUCCGUGCCAGCAGCCGCGGUAAUAC